UAGAGUUUGAUCCUGGCUCAGGACGAACGCUGGCGGCGUGCCUAAUACAUGCAAGUCGAACGAACUCUGGUAUUGAUUGGUGCUUGCAUCAUGAUUUACAUUUGAGUGAGUGGCGAACUGGUGAGUAACACGUGGGAAACCUGCCCAGAAGCGGGGGAUAACACCUGGAAACAGAUGCUAAUACCGCAUAACAACUUGGACCGCAUGGUCCGAGCUUGAAAGAUGGCUUCGGCUAUCACUUUUGGAUGGUCCCGCGGCGUAUUAGCUAGAUGGUGGGGUAACGGCUCACCAUGGCAAUGAUACGUAGCCGACCUGAGA
rnacentral:rRNA from 2 species